GGUCAUGAGUUGUAGGUUGUCAACACCAUUGAGAAAACUAUUUCACUUGAGGAUGGUAAAGUUGUUCUAACACCUCAUAAUGGUCAGGAAGCCUCUCCUGAAGUGUUGCCUAUCAACUUUUCUGGACUGGCAAAGUCUCAGUUGAUGAGUGCCCCUCAAUUGAUAAUUCAGAGAGGACUGAUGGAGGUGCCUUUGAUGGAAGUGCCAGUCAUAUACAAAACAAUGGGAGGCGGAGGCAAAAGGUUCAAGAUCCUGCUCGAGAUCUUUCAAUUCAAGUAUUGGAGAAAUUCUCUCGUGUGACUAGAUUUUCUGGGAAAGUCAUAGUGAUAUUUUUGGCACUAAUGAGAGGGGGACCCAUAACCUGACUCCUCACGAUUACCCUAGCAACGUGGCAUCCAUUAUGUAGAAAAGGUUACUGAACAAAUUCCUGUAACCAAAGAUCCUUUGGAGAAAACACUGUAUUGGAAAAGAAAUGAUGAAGCAGAAGCUGCCACCAAUGUGGGAACUUUUGAGCUAAUCAAUUUUAAGGAGGUACCAAAACGAGCCUUUAGGUUUUGUUUAUCUUUCUGGGUUUGUUCCCAUUCAAAUUUUUUUUACCUUCUUCAAGUAUGAGCAUAAGGUAACAGUGUCUAGUUAGUUUCCUGCCAUUGCUUUUCAUAAUCCUUCAACAAAUAUGCAGUCACUCGAAUUCGGCCUUUGUUAUUUAAGCAGGCAAAUGAUGGUAGUAAUUCAUUCUUUUCUCUGCUUAGAAGUGAUGUGUUACACAUGAGAAUGUGUCCU